CCCUUAGACGUUCUGGGCCGCACGCGCGCUACACUGACCAGUGCAACAAGCAUCCGUCCUUGGCCGACAGGCUCGGGCAAUCUUUGAACGCUGGUCGUGAUGGGGAUAGACUUUUGCAAUUUUUGGUCUUCAACGAGGAAUUCCUAGUAAACGCAAGUCAUCAACUUGCAUUGAUUACGUCCCUGCCCUUUGUACACACCGCCCGUCGCACCUCCCGAUUGAAUGGUCCGGUGAAGCCUCCGGAUUGGCGCGCACCUCGGUGCCGCCGAGAAGUUGGCUAAACCUUACCAUUUAGAGGAAGGUGAAGUCGUAACA
rnacentral:rRNA from 1 species